rnacentral:rRNA from 1 species
GACGAACGCUGGCGGCGUGCUUAACACAUGCAAGUCGAACGGAAAGGCCUGCUUUCCCUUGUGGAUUGCGGGUACUCGAGUGGCGAACGGGUGAGUAACACGUGAGUGAUCUGCCCCCAACUUGGGUAUAAGCCUGGGAAACUGGGUCUAAUUCCCGAUAGGACUGCAGGGUGGUGCCUGUGGUGGAAAACGAUUUUCUAGUGGUUGGGGAUGAGCUCGCGGCCUAUCAGCUUGUUGGUGGGGUAAUGGCCUACCAAGGCGGCGACGGGUAGCCGGCCUGAGAGGGUGGACGGCCACAUUGGGACUGCGAUACGGCCCAGACUCCUACGGGAGGCAGCAGUGGGGAAUAUUGCACAAUGGGCGGAAGCCUGAUGCUGCGACGCCGCGUGGGGGAUGACGGCCUUCGGGUUGUAAACUCCUUUCGACCGCGAGGAAGCCACCUGGUUGGAAGGGUGGUGACGGUAGUGGUAGAAGAAGCACCGGCUAACUACGUG